GCUGGGUGUGGUGCUGCUUACCUGUAGUCCAACUACUUGGGAGGCUGAAGUGGGAGGAUCACUUGAGCCUGGGAGGUCAAGGCUGCAGUGAGCUGAGAUCAUGCCACUGCACUCCAGUCUGGGCAACAAAGUGAGACCCUGUUUCAA
ensembl:misc_RNA Metazoa_SRP Metazoan signal recognition particle RNA